CAAUAGCGUAUAUUAAAGUUGUUGCGGUUAAAAGCUCGUAGUUGAAUUUCUGUUUUAGGAAGCCUUAUCGUUCGGAAGUUCGAUGAGUGUUUCUUUUAGCAUUCUUCUGAGAUUUGGCAUGCGCUUAAUUGUGCUAAGUCGUCUCGGGACAAAUUACUUUGAGGAAAUUAGAGUGUUUCAAGCAAGCGUUUCGCUUUGAAUAUAAUAGCAUGGAAUAAUGUCAUAAGGCUUUUGUCCUAUACGUUGGUUAUGGACAUAAGUAAUGAUUAAUAGGGAUAGUCGGGGGCAUUUGUACUUAACUGUCAGAGGUGAAAUUCUUGGAUUUGUUAAAGACAAACUAUUGCGAAAGCAUUUGCCAAGGAUGUUUUCAUUAAUCAAGAACGAAAGUUAGGGGAUCGAAGACGAUCAGAUACCGU
rnacentral:rRNA from 1 species